GACGAACGCUGGCGGCGUGCUUAACACAUGCAAGUCGAACGGAAAGGCCCUGCUCUUGUUGGUCUCUCGAGUGGCGCACGCGUGUGUAACACGUGAGUAACCUGUACUUGUCUUUCGGAUAACUUCACGAAACUGGGGCUAAUAUCCGAUAGGAGCUACUGCUGCACGGUGGGGGUUGGAAAGUUUCGGCGGUUGGGGAUGGACUCGCGGCUUAUCAGCUUGUUGGUGGGGUAGUGGCUUACCAAGGCUGUGACGGGUAGCCGGCCUGAGAGGGUGAACGGCGACCAUGGGACUGAGGUACGGCGCAGAAGCCUACGGGAGGCAGCGGGGGGAAGCAUUACGCAGUGGGGGGAAGCGUGAGACAGCAACGCCGCGUGCGGGAUAACGGGCUUCGGGGUGUAAACCACUGUCGAAGUAAACGUGGCCGGAGUGACGGUAAUGGGUAAAAAAGCACCGGCUAACUACGUG
rnacentral:rRNA from 1 species